UUGUUGUGCAAUAACUAAGAAGAUGAAGGAGCAAACAGAGAAGAUUAGCAUGGCUUCUGCGCAAGGGUGACAUUCAUAAAUUGAGAAAUUAUCCAAAAAAAA